rnacentral:rRNA from 1 species
CGACGUCUGAUGGAGCACGCCGCGUGAAUGAAGAAGGCCUUCGGGUCGUAAAAUUCUGUUGUCAGAGAAGAACGUGCGUGAGAGUAACUGUUCACGUAUUGACGGUAUCUGACCAGAAAGCCACGGCUAACUACGUGCCAGCAGCCGCGGUAAUACGUAGGUGGCGAGCGUUGUCCGGAUUUAUUGGGCGUAAAGGGAACGCAGGCGGUCUUUUAAGUCUGAUGUGAAAGCCUUCGGCUUAACCGAAGUAGUGCAUUGGAAACUGGAAGACUUGAGUGCAGAAGAGGAGAGUGGAACUCCAUGUGUAGCGGUGAAAUGCGUAGAUAUAUGGAAGAACACCAGUGGCGAAAGCGGCUCUCUGGUCUGUAACUGACGCUGAGGUUCGAAAGCGUGGGUAGCAAACAGGAUUAGAUACC